rnacentral:rRNA from 1 species
AAUUACUGGGCGUAAAGCGUGCGCAGGCGGUUUUGUAAGACAGUGGUGAAAUCCCCGGGCUCAACCUGGGAACUGCCAUUGUGACUGCAAGGCUAGAGUGCGGCAGAGGGGGAUGGAAUUCCGCGUGUAGCAGUGAAAUGCGUAGAUAUGCGGAGGAACACCGAUGGCGAAAGCAAUCCCCUGGGCCUGCACUGACGCUCAUGCACGAAAGCGUGGGGAGCAAACAGGAUUAGAUACCCUGGUAGUC